GACGAGCGCUGGCGGCGUGCUUAACACAUGCAAGUCGAACGGAAAGGCCCUGCUUUUGUGGGGUGCUCGAGUGGCGAACGGGUGAGUAACACGUGAGUAACCUGCCCUUGACUUUGGGAUAACUUCAGGAAACUGGGGCUAAUACCGGAUAGGAGCUCCUGCUGCAUGGUGGGGGUUGGAAAGUUUCGGCGGUUGGGGAUGGACUCGCGGCUUAUCAGCUUGUUGGUGGGGUAGUGGCUUACCAAGGCUUUGACGGGUAGCCGGCCUGAGAGGGUGACCGGCCACAUUGGGACUGAGAUACGGCCCAGACUCCUACGGGAGGCAGCAGUGGGGAAUAUUGCACAAUGGGCGGAAGCCUGAUGCAGCAACGCCGCGUGCGGGAUGACGGCCUUCGGGUUGUAAACCGCUUUCGCCUGUGGCGAAGCGUGAGUGACGGUAAUGGGUAAAGAAGCACCGGCUAACUACG
rnacentral:rRNA from 1 species